rnacentral:rRNA from 1 species
UACGAAGGGGGCUAGCGUUGCUCGGAAUCACUGGGCGUAAAGCGCACGUAGGCGGAUUUUUAAGUCAGGGGUGAAAUCCUGGAGCUCAACUCCAGAACUGCCUUCGAUACUGGCGAUCUCGAGUUCGGGAGAGGUGAGUGGAACUGCGAGUGUAGAGGUGAAAUUCGUAGAUAUUCGCAAGAACACCAGUGGCGAAGGCGGCUCACUGGCCCGAUACUGACGCUGAGGUGCGAAAGCGUGGGGAGCAAACAGG